UGCGAACUCCUACGGGAGGCAGCAGUGGGGAAUUUUGGACAAUGGGCGCAAGCCUGAUCCAGCCAUGCCGCGUGUCUGAAGAAGGCCUUCGGGUUGUAAAGGACUUUUGUUAGGGAAGAAAAGGAUAGUGUUAAUACCAUUAUCUGCUGACGGUACCUAAAGAAUAAGCACCGGCUAACUACGUGCCAGCAGCCGCGGUAAUACGUAGGGUGCGAGCGUUAAUCGGAAUUACUGGGCGUAAAGCGAGCGCAGACGGUUUAUUAAGCAAGAUGUGAAAUCCCCGAGCUUAACUUGGGAACUGCGUUUUGAACUGGUAAGCUAGAGUAUGUCAGAGGGGGGUAGAAUUCCACGUGUAGCAGUGAAAUGCGUAGAGAUGUGGAGGAAUACCGAUGGCGAAGGCAGCCCCCUGGGAUAAUACUGACGUUCAUGCUCGAAAGCGUGGGUAGCAAACAGGAUUAGAUACCCUUGUAGUCCU
rnacentral:rRNA from 1 species